AGUACGGCCGCAAGGCUAAAACUCAAAGGAAUUGACGGGGGCCCGCACAAGCAGUGGAACAUGUGGUUUAAUUCGACGAUACGCGAAGAACCUUACCUAGGCUUGACAUCCUUGGAAUCUUCUAGAGAUAGAGGAGUGCCUUCGGGAACCAAGUGACAGGUGGUGCAUGGUUGUCGUCAGCUCGUGCCGUGAGGUGUUGGGUUAAGUCCCGCAACGAGCGCAACCCUCGUUCUGUGUUACCAGCAUUUCGGAUGGGGACUCACAGAAGACUGCCCCGGAUAACGGGGAGGAAGGUGGGGAUGACGUCAAAUCAUCAUGCCCCUUACGUCUAGGGCUACACACAUGUUACAGUGGGCGAUAUAACAGGCCGCGAAGCCGCAAGGUGGAGCCAAUCCUCAAAAUCGUCCUCAGUUCGGAUUGUAGGCUGCAACUCGCCUGCAUGAAGUAGGAAUUGCUAGUAAACGUGGAUCAGCUACGCCGCGUUGAAUACGUUCUCGGGCCUUGUACACACCGCCCGUCACAUCAUGAAAGCUGGGAACAUCCGAAGCCGGUGUCUCAACCGCAAGGAGAGAGCCGUCUAAGAUGGUAUCGGUGAUUGGGGUGAAGUCGUAACAAGGUAACC
rnacentral:rRNA from 1 species